rnacentral:rRNA from 1 species
CAGCAGCCACGGUAAUACGAGGGGGGCAAGCGUUGUUCGGAAUUAUUGGGCGUAAAGGGUGCGUAGGAGGCUUGACAAGUCUUGUGUGAAAUCUAUGGGCUCAACCCAUAGUCUGCACGGGAAACUGUCGGGCUUGAGAAUGGGAGAGGUGAGUGGAAUUUCCGGUGUAGCGGUGAAAUGCGUAGAUAUCGGAAGGAACACCUGCGGCGAAAGCGGCUCACUGGACCAUUUCUGACGCUGAUGCACGAAAGCUAGGGGAGCAAACAGGAUUAGAUACCCCCGUAGUCCCUGUCUCUUAUAC